rnacentral:rRNA from 1 species
GAUGAACGCUGGCGGCGUGCCUAAUACAUGCAAGUCGAGCGAAUGGAUUAAGAGCUUGCUCUUAUGAAGUUAGCGGCGGACGGGUGAGUAACACGUGGGUAACCUGCCCAUAAGACUGGGAUAACUCCGGGAAACCGGGGCUAAUACCGGAUAACAUUUUGAACCGCAUGGUUCGAAAUUGAAAGGCGGCUUCGGCUGUCACUUAUGGAUGGACCCGCGUCGCAUUAGCUAGUUGGUGAGGUAACGGCUCACCAAGGCAACGAUGCGUAGCCGACCUGGGGGGGUGAUCGGCCAACCUGGGACUGAGGAACGGCCCAGACUCCUACGGGAGGCAGCAGUAGGGAAUCUUCCGCAAUGGACGAAAGUCUGACGGAGCAACGCCGCGUGAGUGAUGAAGGCUUUCGGGUCGUAAAACUCUGUUGUUAGGGAAGAACAAGUGCUAGUUGAAUAAGCUGGCACCUUGACGGUACCUAACCAGAAAGCCACGGCUAACUACGUGCCAGCCGCCGGAGUAA